rnacentral:rRNA from 1 species
UACAGAGGUCUCAACCGUUGUUCGGAUUCAUUGGGCGUAAAGGGUGCGUAGGCGGUCGCGCAAGUCGGAUGUGAAAUCUCAGGGCUCAACCCUGAAACUGCAUUCGAUACUGCGUGGCUAGAGUGCUGGAGAGGAGACUGGAAUUUACGGUGUAGCAGUGAAAUGCGUAGAUAUCGUAAGGAAGACCAGUGGCGAAGGCGAGUCUCUGGACAGCAACCGACGCUGAGGCACGAAGGCCAGGGGAGCAAACGGG